ACUUAUGUGUCUGACUUGUGUUGUCAUAGAGUACAUGGAAGAUUCCCUGGAGGAUGGGGAUGUAACCUUCAUGCUCAGACCUGUGAAAGAUGGGGGCCGACCAUCAUCUGUUCUUGCAAAGGCCUCCUCCAUGUGAUCUCUGGAAAGCUCACACCACCCAGACUCCCCUAUCAAGCGAUCAGACACAGCUACAAGUGACCCAAGCCAAGUGGAAGGGGCAUCUGGAGGAGUUCAAUGUAAAAGAUAUGCAAUUCCACAGUGUUUAGUGUCAGAUUUGUAGCGGCUGGACAACUGAGCAUGUAGUACUAAUUGAUCAUCCUUUCCCCAGGAUUUUGAAACUCAGAAUACUUCAUCAUCC
rnacentral:lncRNA from 11 species